GCCUUCAUGGUGUAGUGGUCAGCACGCUCGACGCGUAUUCGAGAGGUCCGUGGUUCGAGUCCCGGUGAAGGCA
rnacentral:tRNA from 1 species